AUUGAACGCUGGCGGCAGGCUUAACACAUGCAAGUCGAACGAGUGGCGGACGGGUGAGUAAUGCUUGGGAAUCUACCUGAUGGAGGGGGAUAACUACUGGAAACUGUAGCUAAUACCGCAUACCAUCGGAUGAGCCCAGGUGGGAUUAGGUAGUGGGUGGGGUAAAGGCUCACCAAGCCGACGAUCCCUAGCUGGUCUGAGAGGAUGACCAGCCACACUGGGAUUGAGACAAGGCCCAGACUCCGACGGGAGGCAGCAGUGGGGAAUAUUGCGCAAUGGGGGCAACCCUGACGCAGCCAUGCCGCGUGAAUGAAGAAGGCCUUCGGGUUGUAAAGUUCUUUCGGUAGGGAGGCGUUAACUACAGAAGAAGCACCGGCUAACUCCGUGCCAGCAGCCGCGGUAAUAC
rnacentral:rRNA from 1 species